CAUAUAGGACUAGGGAGUGGAGGGUUACCAUAGGGUGACAGAAGGUUCUGUUGGGUACUGUGAGAUACCAUAUAGGACUAGGGAGUGGAGGGUUACCAUAGGGUGACAGAAGGUUCUGUUGGGUACUGUGAGAUACCAUAUAGGACUAGGGAGUGGAGGGUUACCAUAGGGUGACAGAAGGUUCUGUUGGGUACUGUGAGAUACCAUAUA